AAGCAGGAUUCAGACUACAAUAUAGCUGCUAAGUGCUGUGUUGUCGUUCCCCCUGCUCAAAAUAAAGUUGUUUCUUAACUAUCUAACAUCACAAUUAAAAGAACUAGAAAAGCAAGAGCAAACACAU
ensembl:snoRNA SNORA63 Small nucleolar RNA SNORA63